rnacentral:rRNA from 1 species
UCAGGACGAACGCUGGCGGCGUGCCUAACACAUGCAAGUCGAGCGGGGACGAUACGACGGAGUCAAAGUUUCGGAUGGAGACGAAGAUGUAUGUUCUAGCGGCGGACGGGUGAGUAACGCGUGAGCAACCUGUCCCUUACAGGGGGAUAACACAGCGAAAGUUGUACUAAUACCGCAUGAGACCACGGGAGGACAUCCUCCAGGGGUCAAAGGAGCAAUCCGGUAAGGGGUGGGCUCGCGUCCGAUUAGAUAGUUGGUGAGGUAACGGCCCACCAAGUCGACGAUCGGUAGCCGACCUGAGAGGGUGAUCGGCCACAUUGGGACUGAGACACGGCCCAAACUCCUACGGGAGGCAGCAGUGGGGAAUAUUGGGCAAUGGGGGGAAACCCUGACCCAGCAACGCCGCGUGAGGGAAGAAGGUUUUCGGAUCGUAAACCUCUGUCCUUGGUGAAGAGGAAGAGACGGUAGCCAAGGAGGAAGCCCCGGCUAACUACGUGCCAGCCGCGGC